UCCUGCCGCUCUUCCCUGUCCGUAGCUGUAUCCGGGUCAUUCCGGUGAAACCCCCCCAUGUCCCCUUCCCGCGGGGUCACUGUGGGUUUCCGGUCCUCUUCCCCCUCCCAGGGAGGUUUGUGUGUCGGUGCGGUUGGCAUCGCUGUUGAGCCGUUUUUUCAUUUAUUCUAGUCCCCUCCCCGUGCUUGCCCGCAUGGAUCCUCCCGGAGUGCGGCGCCCCGGAGGAGGGGAGGACGGCGGCGGCGGCCCGGGUGAGAAUCCUAUAGGUAUGGCUUACGUACCAACAGAGGAUGAAAGAAGAAUUUUCAGGGAAUGCAACGACGAGAGCUUCUGGUAUAGAUCUGUGCCUUUUUCUGCAGUAAGCAUGAUUGUCACUUCGCGCUUAAUUAAGAAAGG